rnacentral:rRNA from 1 species
UACGUAGGGUGCGAGCGUUAAUCGGAAUUACUGGGCGUAAAGCGUGCGCAGGCGGUUCGCCAAGUCAGGUGUGAAAUCCCCGGGCUUAACCUGGGAAUUGCGCUUGAAACUAGCGGGCUUGAGUGUGGCAGAGGGGGGUGGAAUUCCACGUGUAGCAGUGAAAUGCGUAGAGAUGCGGAGGAACACCGAUGGCGAAGGCAGCCCCCUAGGUCAACACUGACGCUCAUGCACGAAAGCGUGGGGAGCAAACAGG